UUUUGGCAACUGCCUUUGGGAUUUAAUUGCAAAUUAAAACAGAAGAGACAAGCUUCUGACAUAAAUAUAAAUUAUUACACAGUACCAAUACAAGAGAGUUAUCGUCACUGUGAACCGGGUGGUCUCAAGGUUACACACGG